rnacentral:rRNA from 1 species
UACAGGGGGGGCAAGCGUUGUUCGGAAUUACUGGGCGUAAAGGGCUCGCAGGCGGCCAACUAAGUCACACGUGAAAUCCCCAGGCUUAACCUGGGAACUGCGUGUGAUACUGGAUGGCUUGAAUUCGGGAGAGGGAUGCAGAAUUCCAGGUGUAGCGGUGAAAUGCGUAGAUAUCUGGAGGAAUACCGGUGGCGAAGGCGGCAUCCUGGACCGACAUUGACGCUGAGGAGCGAAAGCUAGGGGAGCAAACGGG